GGAAGUAAAAGUCGUAAUAAGGGUUCCGUAGGUGAACCUGCGGAAGGAUCAUUAUUGUAUAACCGAGGUGCGAGGGCUGUCGCUGACCCGAAAGGUCGUGCACGCCCGAGUGCCCUCACACACAUCCAUCUCACCCCUAUGUGCACCACCGCGUGGGUCCCCCUUUGGCUUGUUCGGAGGGGGGCUUACGUUUUCACACAAACUUUGUAUGCAGUGUAGAAUGUAUUUUUUGUUUUUGCGAUCACGCAAUCAAUACAACUUUCAACAACAGAUCUCUUGGCUCUC
rnacentral:misc_RNA from 1 species